GGGUUGUGAGGUUAAGCGACUAAGCGUACACGGUGGAUGCCCUGGCAGUCAGAGGCGAUGAAGGGCGUGCUAAUCUGCGAUAAGCGCCGGUAAGGUGAUAUGAACCGUUAUAACCGGCGAUACCCGAAUGGGGAAACCCAGUGUGAUUCGUCACACUAUCAUUAACUGAAUCCAUAGGUUAAUGAGGCGAACCGGGGGAACUGAAACAUCUAAGUACCCCGAGGAAAAGAAAUCAACCGAGAUUCCCCCAGUAGCGGCGAGCGAACGGGGAGGAGCCCAGAGCCUGAAUCAGCAUGUGUGUUAGUGGAAGCGUCUGGAAAGGCGCGCGAUACAGGGUGACAGCCCCGUACACAAAAGCGCAUAUGCUGUGAGCUCGAUGAGUAGGGCGGGACACGUGGUAUCCUGUCUGAAUAUGGGGGGACCAUCCUCCAAGGCUAAAUACUCCUGACUGACCGAUAGUGAACCAGUACCGUGAGGGAAAGGCGAAAAGAACCCCGGCGAGGGGAGUGAAAAAGAACCUGAAACCGUGUACGUACAAGCAGUGGGAGCCCCACCACUAAGCCAGUGGUGAACUCCACAUACGCAUCCUUUGCUGAGGAUACGGUUAACGGAGCGAAAGCGACGUUCGACC
rnacentral:rRNA from 1 species